GCGAACAGAUUUCAACGACUGCUAUAGAGCGUUGAAUCUAACAAGUGUUUAUAUUUCCAUGGAUUACGUCUGCCCUACGCAUCUUCGUUUCUACAGACGACGCACCUUCUUACGAGGCGAAGUUCUACUACACCGACUACGACAACUGCGCUGUCCUCGACAUUCCUUAUAAUGGACGUCAAUGCAUCCUUUGGACGAAAGAAACAGUGAAAGAUUCGGUGCCCCAGAAAUGCAUGGAUGAGUUCAUGAAGAAUUGUGGCGUCGGCGCCCCACUUUACAACGAUGACCUUUGCAGUGGUGAUGAAGUCGCCGUAUGGUGAUGAAGAAAAAAACCGAGCUUAUUGCCAACAGGCUCAGAUCAACAAAGCUUCGAUUUCACCUUCAACAGUUUCAGCCGAGGCAUAAAUGCAAAUGCGUAAUAAAUAUUGAAAUC